UGCUCAAAAUGGCAGCGCUGGAGGAAGAAUUCACAUUGUCUUUGGUAGUCCUGAGUGCGGGACCUGAAGGACUCCUAGGCAUGAAGCAGAGUGACAAAAUAGACCAGUUUCUAGUGACAGAAAGUGGCAGAAUCGUGAUCCUCUAUAAGGUUUCUGAAUAGAAACCCUUGGGGAGCUGGUCAGUGAAACAGGGUCAAAUUAUAACAUGUCCAGUUGUGUGCAACCUUCAAACUGGAGAGUAUAUUGUUGUACACGAUAAUAAAGUUUUAAGAAUAUGGAAUAAUGAAGAUGUAAACAGGGAUAAAAUAUUUAAAGCUACAUUGUCAGCUGAAGUAUAUAGGAUACUUUCAGUGCAAGGGUCAGAACCCUUGGUGCUCUUCAAGGAAGGUGUUGUUUAUGGUUUAGAGGCCUUGCUUGCAGACCCCCAGCAGAAAAUUGAAACUGUUUUCUCUCAUGAAGUGAUUAAAUGGACAAAGUUUUUCAUAGUAUUCAGACUUCCUGUUUUAAUGUUUAUUACUGAAAAACAUGGAAAUUACAUUGCUUAGGUGCAAAUGUUUAACUCACAUAUCUUAACCAAAUAUACACUCUUACUUGGACAAGACAAAAACUCUUUUAUAGAGAGUUUUACUGCAUCAGUAGAUCAAAAAUUCAUCUCUUUGAUGUCAUUAAGCUCUGAUGGUUGUAUAUAUGAAACCUUGAUACCAAUACGUCCAACUGACCCAGAAAAAAAUCAGAGCUUAGUUAGAUCACUGUUGCUCAAGGCUGUUGUGUCUGGUAAUGCUCCAAAUGGAGUUGCACUCACUGCCCUGGAUCAGGAUCACGUCACAGUCCUAGGAAGUCCACUAGCAGCUUCUAAGGAAUGCCUCUCUGUAUGGAACAUAAAAUUUCAAACACUACAGACUUCAAAAGAGUUACCACAAGGGACCAGUGGUCAACUCUGGUAUUAUGGGGAAAAUUUGUUUAUGCUACAUGGAAAAUCUCUAGCUGUGAUUCCAUACAACUGUGAAGUGUCAUCAUUAGCAGAUGCUCUUGGAAAACUCAAGCAUAGUCAAGAUCCAGGAACUCAUGUUGUGCCCCAUUUUUGUAAACUGGGAAACACCUCAAGGAUGUGGACUUGGGUCCCAGAACUCAGAGCAGUUAAGAAGAAUUUUAAGGAGAUGAAAAAUUGAAGUGAGUUUAUAGCCAGAGGUAUCACCAUCCAAACAACUUUUGUCAACCAUAAUGAAAGAUUCAGAAAAGCACAUUGAAGUAGAAGUAUGGAAAUUUUUGGCUCUGAAGCAGACACCUGACUUUCAUACUGUCAUUGGGGACACAGUAACAGGACUUCUGGAAAGGUGUAAAGCAGAACGAUCAUUUUAUCCCCGGAACUGUCUGAUGCAGCUUAUCCAAAUGCAUGUGCUUUCUUACAGUUUGUGCCCUGACUUAAUGGAGAUUGCCUUAAAAAAGAAAGAUGUACAGGUGUUACAACUCUGUCUACAGCAGUUCCCUGACAUUCCUGAAUUGGUCACCUGUGCUUGCUUAAAAAUUUUCUUGAGCAUUGGUGAUGACAGUCUUCAAGAAACAGAUGUCAGUAUGGAGUCAGUUUUUGACUAUAGUAAUUCUGUACAUGAUGAGAAAAUGGAAGAGCAAACUGAAAUUCUUCAAAAUGGCUUCAAUCCUGAAGAAGAUAAAUGCAAUAACUGUGAUCGAGAGUUAAAUAAAAAGCCCCAGGACAAAACAAAGGAGACCACUUCAUGCCCUGUGAUACCAAAAGGAGCAGCUCUACUUAAUGCAAUUCUUCAUUCAGCAUAUAGCGAAACAUUUCUUCUGCCUCAUUUGAAAAACAUCCCAGCACAGCAUACCACGCUGUUUCUCAAGUAUUUGUAUUUCCUUUACCUGAAGUGUAGCAAAAAUGCUACUAUGACUCUUCCUGGAAUAUACCCACCUACCUAGAACCAGAUUAUGGAUUGGAUAUGUCUACUUCUGGAUGCAAAUUUUACUGUUAUAGUAAUGAUGCCAGAAGCAAAGAGGCUACUGAUAAAUCUUUACAAGCUUGUAAAAUCUCAGAUAUCUGUUUAUUCCGAGCUCAACAAGAUUGAAGUAAGUUUUCAGGAGCUACAGAAAUUAAAUCAAGAAAAGAAUAAUAGAGGAUUAUAUUCAAUUAAAGUGCUGGAGCUCUUCUGAUAUUACCAAUUCUCCUUCAUAGACAUUUUAUAAAGCUCUUUUAUGUGAACUCUUGCUUCAUCCAGGGAAGAAUGGUGUUUUGUUUGCAACCAUCUCGGUGUCAAGAGAAACAUGUCAGUGAGUACCUGGACCAUCACUUAUUGAUGCUCCGGGGUAGGACUGCAGGUUUCACAUGAACCUAUUCUAGGUUGUGGACAUUGGUGUGCAGAGGUUCUGCAAUUUUUAAAAAAUAUGUAACUGGGUUGAUUUUAAGUAAAAUUAUUUGUGUAUUGAUAAAAGUCUAAUUUCUUA